GAUGAACGCUAGCUACAGGCUUAACACAUGCAAGUCGCGGGGCAGCAUGGGGGUUGCUUGCACUCCCCGAUGGCGACCGGCGCACGGGUGAGUAACGCGUAUUCAACCUGCCCUUCACGACGGGAUAACCCGGCGAAAGUCGGACUAAUACCGUAUGUUGUCCAUUGACGGCAUCCGAUUUGGACGAAAGGCUUGGCGGUGAGGGAUGGGGAUGCGUCCGAUUAGCCAGACGGCGGGGUAACGGCCCACCGUGGCUACGAUCGGUAGGGGUUCUGAGAGGAAGGUCCCCCACACUGGAACUGAGACACGGUCCAGACUCCUACGGGAGGCAGCAGUGAGGAAUAUUGGUCAAUGGGCGUAAGCCUGAACCAGCCAAGUAGCGUGCAGGAUGACGGCCCUAUGGGUUGUAAACUGCUUUUAUGCGGGGAUAAAGUGGCCCACGUGUGGGCUUUUGCAGGUACCGCAUGAAUAAGGACCGGCUAAUUCCGUG
rnacentral:rRNA from 1 species